UAGGGGAGUCUGGAAUUCCUGGUGUAGCGGUGAAAUGCGCAGAUAUCAGGAGGAACACCGGUGGCGAAGGCGGGACUCUGGGCCGAUACUGACGCUGAGGAGCGAAAGCGUGGGGAGCGAACAGGAUUAGAUACCCUGGUAGUCCACGCCGUAAACGUUGGGCGCUAGGUGUGGGGGUCCUUCCACGAUCUCCGUGCCGCAGCUAACGCAUUAAGCGCCCCGCCUGGGGGAGUACGGCCGCAAGGCUAAAACUCAAAGGAAUUGACGGGGGCCCGCACAAGCGGCGGAGCAUGCGGAUUAAUUCGAUGCAACGCGAAGAACCUUACCAAGGCUUGACAUGCACGGGAAAGUUCCAGAGAUGGUUCCCCCCGCAAGGUCCGUGCACAGGUGGUGCAUGGUUGUCGUCAGCUCGUGUCGUGAGAUGUUGGGUUAAGUCCCGCAACGAGCGCAACCCUUGUCUUAUGUUGCCAGCACGUGAUGGUGGGGACUCAUAAGAGACUGCCGGGGUCAACUC
rnacentral:rRNA from 1 species